rnacentral:rRNA from 1 species
UACAGAGGUCUCAAGCGUUUGUUCGGAUUCAUUGGGGCGUAAAGGGUGCGUAGGCGGCGCGGUAAGUCGGGUGUGAAAUCUUGGAGCUUAACUCCGAAACUGCAUUCGAUACUGCCGUGCUUGAGGACUGGAGAGGAGACUGGAAUUUACGGUGUAGCGGUGAAAUGCGUAGAUAUCGUAAGGAAGACCAGUGGCGAAGGCGG